rnacentral:rRNA from 1 species
AACGAACGCUGGCGGCAGGCCUAACACAUGCAAGUCGAGCGCGCCCUUCGGGGUGAGCGGCGGACGGGUGAGUAACGCGUGGGAACAUGCCCUCCUCUCGGGAAUACCCCCGGGAAACGGAGAUUAUUACCGCAACGGCCCUUUGGGGGAAGAAUUUUCGGAGAAGGAUCGGCCCGCGUUGGAUUAGGUAGUUGGUGGGGUAAAGGGCCACCAAGCCGACGAUUCAUAGCUGGUUUGAGAGGAUGAUCAGCCACACUGGGACUGAGACACGGCCCAGACUCCUACGGGAGGCAGCAGUGGGGAAUCUUAGACAAUGGGGGCAACCCUGAUCUAGCCAUGCCGCGUGAGUGAUGAAGGCCUUAGGGUUGUAAAGCUCUUUCAGCUGGGAAGAUAAUGACGGUACCAGCAGAAGAAGCCCCGGCUAACUCCGUG